rnacentral:rRNA from 1 species
CCCUUAGAUGUUCUGGGCCGCACGCGCGCUACACUGACGAAGUCAGCGAGCAUGUCCUACGCCGACAGGUGCGGGGAAUCUUGUCAAACUUCGUCGUGAUGGGGAUUGAUUAUUGAAAUUCUUGAUCAUCAACGAGGAAUUCCUAGUAAGCGCAGGUCAGCAGCUUGCGUUGAUUACGUCCCUGCCCUUUGUACACACCGCCCGUCGCUACUACCGAUUGAAUGGUUUAGUGAGAUCUUCGGAUUGGCGCCACUGCGGCUCAGCAAUGGGCUCGGUGGAUGCCGAAAAGUUGAUCAAACUUGAUCAUUUAGAGGAAGUAAAAGUCGUAACA